UACAGAGGUCUCAAGCGUUGUUCGGAUUCAUUGGGCGUAAAGGGUGCGUAGGUGGCGCGCUAAGUCAGGUGUGAAAUCUCGGAGCUUAACUCCGAAACUGCAUUUGAUACUGGCGUGCUUGAGGACUGGAGAGGAGACUGGAAUUCAUGGUGUAGCAGUGAAAUGCGUAGAGAUCAUGAGGAAGACCAGUGGCGAAGGCGGGUCUCUGGACAGUUCCUGACACUGAGACACGAAGGCCAGGGGAGCAAACGGG
rnacentral:rRNA from 1 species